AAGGUUCGCACAAAGGCCAUGAGUCCUAGAUUCCCACAGUGCUGGUUGUCAGAAGCUCAUGGGGAUGUGGUCAUUGUUUUAUCUUCUAGGUGGAAAACUCAGGCAAAUGUGUAAUCUGCCAGGAUGGAGGAAAGCUCGUUGGCUGUGGUACUUGUCCCAGAGUCUUUCAUGAGGGCUGUCACCUCCCACCUGUGGAGACUAGAAGGAAUGCUUGGAAGUGCACAUACUGCACAAUAGGAAAUCCUCCAAGCCAGCAACAUGACAGUGAAUCUGAAGUCCUGGUGAAGGUUAUGGGGUCUGAAGAGAAGCUGAAAUGUGCGUUCCUCCUCUUAAAUGUCUAUGGCCCUUUAGAGAGCAAAGUUUUCCCAAAUAUUCCACAUGAAAAUUAUGUUGAAGAGGCUUCUCGAUGUCUAAAGAAACUUAGGAAGUUGG